GGAUGAACGCUGGCGGCGUGCUAACACAUGCAAGUCGAACGGAGUUUAGAUGAAAGCUUGCUUUGACUAAACUUAGUGGCGGACGGGUGAGUAACGCGUGGGUAACCUGCCUUAUACAGGGGGAUAACAGUCGGAAACGACUGCUAAUACCGCAUAAGCGCACGGAAUCGCAUGAUUCAGUGUGAAAAAGAUUUAUCGGUAUAAGAUGGACUCGCGUCCGAUUAGCUUGUUGGCGGGGUAACGGCCCACCAAGGCGACGAUCGGUAGCCGGACUGAGAGGUUGAACGGCCACAUUGGGACUGAGACACGGCCCAGACUCCUACGGGAGGCAGCAGUGGGGGAUAUUGCGCAAUGGGGGCAAACCCCUGACGCAGCAACGCCGCGUGAAGGAUGAAGGUUUCGGAUUGUAAACUUCUUUUGUCAGGGACGAAAUUUGACGGUACCUGACGAAUAAGCUCCGGCUAACUACGUGCCAGCCGCCGC
rnacentral:rRNA from 1 species